rnacentral:rRNA from 1 species
UACGAAGGGGGCUAGCGUUGCUCGGAAUGACUGGGCGUAAAGGGCGCGUAGGCGGCAUGACUAGUCAGACGUGAAAUUCCUGGGCUUAACCUGGGGGCUGCGUUUGAUACGGUUAGGCUAGAGGAUGGAAGAGGCUCGUGGAAUUCCCAGUGUAGAGGUGAAAUUCGUAGAUAUUGGGAAGAACACCGGUGGCGAAGGCGGCGAGCUGGUCCAUUACUGACGCUGAUGCGCGAAAGCGUGGGGAGCAAACAGG